GUUCAUUCCAGAGGAGGUUAGAAUCACUCAGCAUGAAGAGAGGGUGUAACAGGAUGUUGUCUCUGCUGAGGAAGUGGGGCUGCCACCCGAUGGAUUGGAUGGAUUGUCGGUCAUCCCCGCAGGAGAGGCUGGGCCAGGUUGUGGUGCGUCCAACCCCCAGCCCUCUGGGCAGACCGGUUGUGAUCUAAGUCAUUUCAAGAAGGGUCACUUCUUUUUCACUUGCUGGGAAAGGGAGAAGUUCAUGGAAUGACGAACGUCUUGAUUUCAUGGAAUGACGAAGGUCUUGAUAGACUCAACCUGAAGUGGCCCUUAGAAGCCAGCAGAUCUGGCAGCCCCAGCAGAUCUCAUUGGCUCGGAGGUCUGUAGGGAAGAGGAUAUCACAAGACCAGCAGCACUGUCACGGAAGGGGUUCUGGAGCUUUGCAGCAAGGCUCCUUCUCCUUCAGUGGCUGAUCUCUUUUGAAGAAAGAACUUCCGGCCUGCUUCUGGGCAGGCAGAGAUGGCCUGUUUGACCCCAGGGCACCAGGGUUUCUCAAUGGACCGAUUGCCAGAGGUUGGGGUGUCAAGAAUUUGGGGUAUCAAGGUUAAGUACAAAACAUGGAUCUUUGUCUGACAAGACAGGCUGGCCGCUGACUGUUAAAUACUUCCCCACAAAAGGGACAAGCCCGGAGCCAGGUUACCGGCCCACACCGCAAGACAGGCUUUCUUUUAGGAAAUGGACAAAGCUCUAUGACCAGAACAAGCACUUUGGGGAAUUUAAAUUUGCUUUCCCUGACACGACUCCACUUUCAUCACUACCCCUGAACUUAAGGGGCAUCCAAACCUCAGUCUCAGCAGGUUUGUUUUGUGUCUGUGUGUGUCUGUAUGUGUGUUCGUGUGUGUCUGUAUGUGUAUCUGUGUGUGUGUGUCUGUGUGUGUCUCUGUGUGUCUGUGUGUGUGUCUGUGUGUGUCUGUGUAUGUCUCUGUGUGUCUGUGUGUGUGUCUGUGUGUGUGUGUCUGUGUAUGUCUCUGUGUGUCUGUGUCUGUGUCUGUGUGUGUCUCUGUGUGUGUGUGUGUUUUGAAACACGGUCUUGCUCUGUCGCCCAAGCUGGAGGGCAAUGGUGCAAUCACGGCUCACUGCAGCGUUGACUUCCUAGGCUCAAGCGAUCCUCCCAUCUCAGCCUCCUGAAUAGCUGGCACCACAGGUGGGAGCCACCACUUCUAGCUAAUUUUUGUAUUUUUUGUAGAAAUAGAGUCUUUCUAUGUUGCCCAGGAUGGUCUUGAACUCCUAGGGUCAGGCAAUCCUCCUGCCUCAGCCUCCCAUGGUGUUGGGAUUACAGGCGUGAGCCACCAUGCACAGCCAGCAUAUUUCUUAACAUCAGAUUUUUUUUUUUUUUUGAGACGGAGUUUCACUCUUGUUGCCCAGGCUGGAGUGCAGGGGUGUGAUCUCGGCUCACUGCAACCUCUACCUCCUGGGUUCAAGCGAUUCUCUUACUUCAGCCUCCUGAGUAGCUGGAACUGCAGACACGUACCACCACGCCCAGCUAAUUUUGUAUUUUUAGUAAAGACGGGGUUUCACCAUGUUGGUCAGGCUGGUCUCGAAUUCCUGACCACAGGUGAUCUGUCUGCCUUGGCCUCCCAAAGUGCUGCGAUUGCAGGCCUCAGCCACCACGCCCAACCAGAUUAUUUAUUUAUUUAUGUAUUUAUGUAUUUAUCUGUUUAUGUAUUUAUUUAUUUAUUUUUCUUUUGAGACGGAGUUU
rnacentral:lncRNA from 10 species